GGCCGUGUGAAAAUCUCACGGUUUGGGUGGAGAGGACACAAGUCGUCCUGGGGCCCGUGUCAGCCCCGCUGUCCUGCCCCCUUCCUCCCAGCAGAACUGAAGGGCUUCCCUCCCGGGUUCUCAGAGUCACUGGAGCCAAAAUCAGUGGGAGGGUCCACACCAGGGCUGCCCCUCCUCCCUGAUGGAGCCCUGGCGGUGGGUCCUGAGACUUGGCAGGACCAGGGCUGGUGCUUGGCCGGAACGCUGAAGGGGGUGAGGAGGAAGCAGCCCUGUGCUCACACACACCUCCACCCCGGCAGGCAGCGUGGCCCACCACCCUCAGCACCUCAGCCUGACGCCACGUCGCUCCAGCGAACCCCAGGCUCCCAGGAUCCCAGCGCUGCGGCUCCCCUGUGAGGGGUGGACCGGGAGCCCAGCGCCCCCAGCGGCCAGCGGAGCGGGGAGAGGGGUGGCACCCAGGCCCCCCAUCAGCAUCGCGGGCCUGCUGCAGAGGCAGCAUUUAAGCAAGUGCUGCUUUGAAAAGUAAACGCUUUUCCCUGAAAUGCACGUGUGAGAAUGUCUGUGUGGUGAGAGCAGACACGAGACUGGAACUUGGAACGUUCUUAAGAAUCGUGUUCUGAGCGUCUCGGUGGUUUGGAACCGGUGGUGUCCGCAGUGAAUCCCACGUGGGUCAUGCUCUGGACACCUCCUGCAGGGUCUGCCGGCCUCAGGGUUCAGGUGCGGGAGUGAGAGGCCCCGCGUGCCCUCAGUCACGUCACAGCGCUGGCAAGUCCCUCGCGCAGUGGAUAAACAUCUCGGCCUUCAGAUGCCAGCGCUGGGGUGGGACGGGCACCACCUGUGGCCUCCCUGCUGGCUGCGUCUGGUCGCGACUUGGCUCCUGUUCAGCAGCAGU
rnacentral:lncRNA from 1 species